GGUUCCAUGGUCUAGGGGUUAUGACGCAGGUCUUUGGAUCCUGCAGCCCGGGUUCGAGUCCCGGUGGAACCU
rfam:Vavraia culicis subsp. floridensis unplaced genomic scaffold supercont1.55, whole genome shotgun sequence.